rnacentral:rRNA from 1 species
UCAAAUUUGUAAUCUGACGGUCUCAGGCCGUCCGAGUUGUAGUCUGGAGAAGCGUUUUCCGUGCCGGACCGUGUACAAGUCCCUUGGAACAGGGCGUCGUAGAGGGUGAGAAUCCCGUCUCUGACACGGACCGCCGGUGCUCUGUGAUGCGCUCUCGAAGAGUCGAGUUGUUUGGGAAUGCAGCUCAAAAUGGGUGGUAAAUUCCAUCUAAAGCUAAAUAUUGGCGAAAGACCGAUAGCGAACAAGUACCGUGAGGGAAAGAUGAAAAGCACUUUGGAAAGAGAGUUAAACAGUACGUGAAAUUGUUGAAAGGGAAACGCUUCAAGUCAGUCGCGUCUUCCGAGACUCAGCCGGGUUUUUAACCCGGUGCACUUCUCGGUGUGACGGGCCAGCAUCGAUUUCGAUCGUCGGAGAAAGGCUCUGGGAAUGUGGCACCUCCGGGUGUGUUAUAGCCCUCUGUCGUAUGCGACGGUCGGGAUCGAGGACCGCAGUGUGCCUUCACUGGGCCGGGGU